ACACUUACCCUGCAGGGGAGAUCAGCAAGGUGGUUUUCCCAGGGCAAGGCUUAUCCUCUGCACUCCAGAUAUGCUGACCCCUGCUAUUUCCCCAAAUGUGGGAAAUAUGGCUGAUAAUGUGUGAUAGUGGGGAACUGCCUUCACAGGCUCCCCUGA
rfam:Otolemur garnettii contig011297, whole genome shotgun sequence.